UGCUUUUUAUCUUUUUAAUUUAAAAAUAAAAUUAAGUAAAUUUUGAAAACAGAAUUUUGUUGCUUUUAAAUUUUUUUUAAAACACAUUUUUCACUUCCCUAUCUCUCGUCUUCUUCAACCAGCACUACAUCGACGAUUUCUUUUUCUCUCAUCCAUGGCUUCCACUCUCCACUCAGAUUUCUUUGGCCAAUAAACCUGACCAGAGUACCUAGCAGGAUCUGUUAUCACAUCUUUUAAAGAGCCUUGCUAACCAAACAAGUGAGCAAGGGGGAAAAAUGUAGCUGGCCUUUUGCGUGACCCCCAAAAUGUUCUGCAUGAUGGGACUUCAGUUGGAAACUCAGAAGUUGUUUCUACUUUUCUUUCAAAUGGUUCUCAAGGCCCUCCAAGGCCUAUCAAAUAGAAUCAUGUUGUAUAUAUUUCGGAAAUGCCACAACAAGGCAUUCAUCUACAUGACACUAAUGGUGGAUUUUGGGGUUAUGCAUCUGAGAAAGCUCAAUUUCUAGUCAGAGGUACAAACUUGGUGCGACCUGCCACGAGGUUAUUAUGUGCUCUAGAAGGGAAAUAUCUGGUUCAGGAAGCCACCCAUGAGUUAAUGGAUGGUGAUGAUAACUCGGAGCAUGAUGAGCAAUGCAUCAAUUUUUCUUGUCCUAUUGAAGUUACAAAUGGAUGAGGAUUUAUAGAGGUGUUGUUUUCUUAUGAUUCUUCUCGAAUGUAUAGUUCAUUCUAGUCAGGGCAAUAAGGAAUUUUCAACAUCAUUUUGUAUUGUUUUCCUAUUUGGUUAUAUCUUUAUGUUGAGAGUGGUAAAUCAUGGUGUCAAUUACUACUCUAAAAGAGCUUUGUAACAUGAAUUAUCUGUACAUUUUCUGGUUAGCAGUAUGUUUUAUUAUUAACAUCAAUGGUAUAAUAAUAGAAUUGAUAUUGUUUUUUGCCA